rnacentral:rRNA from 1 species
GACGAACGCUGGCGGCGUGCUUAACACAUGCAAGUCGAACGCUGAAGACCUGGCUUUUGUUGGGUUGGAUGAGUGGCGAACGGGUGAGUAACACGUGAGUAACCUGCCCUCUUCUUUGGGAUAACGCCCGGAAACGGGUGCUAAUACUGGAUAUUCACUGAUCUUCGCAUGGGGGUUGGUGGAAAGGUUUGUUCUGGUGGGGGAUGGGCUCGCGGCCUAUCAGCUUGUUGGUGGGGUGAUGGCCUACCAAGGCUUUGACGGGUAGCAGGCCUGAGAGGGUGACCGGUCACAUUGGGACUGAGAUACGGCCCAGACUCCUACGGGAGGCAGCAGUGGGGAAUAUUGCACAAUGGGCGAAAGCCUGAUGCAGCGACGCCGCGUGAGGGAUGGAGGCCUUCGGGUUGUAAACCUCUUUCGCUCAUGGUCAAGCCGCAACUGUGGGUUGUGGUGAGGGUAGUGGGUAAAGAAGCGCCGGCUAACUACGUG